GGUUGCAUAGUGUAAGAGUUAGCAAGUCUGCUUUAUACGCAGAAGGUCCUGGGUUCAUGCCCCAGUGGAGCCA
rnacentral:tRNA from 1 species